GGCAGAAUCAGGUCCAAAGAUGCAGAGGGGAAGGAUGCAGCAUUUUUCUCCUCCACAGCAAAAUGAACCUUGCAGUGGGCAUACCAUGGAGCCAGACCACCAGCAGAGCAUUAAACAGGGACAGAUGUGAAUGCCAGGAUAAAAAUGAAGACAUUCCUGAAGUGGCGACCCUUGGAAAACACAUUCACAAGGAAGGAACGGGGAACCAGAGAAAGUCCAUUGCAAAAGGAUACCCGUGCAGGUGUGGGGAAAGUUCCAGGUCCUACAGAACUGCUGUUACUGCUGUUUUCAGCAUCAGCCAAAGCUUAAUUUCUCCUCUGUGA
rnacentral:lncRNA from 1 species